GCACCAAAAUAAGAAAAGAUGACACCCCACAGCACAAAAGCAGCCCAUCAAACAACCAAGACGCCGACAUGCUCAGCAGGACUACAGGAAAGCUGCCGUCUCGCCUGUCAGAUGUAACCUUUUCUUCUCUGUCCUGGGCUUUUCUGAAAAGAAUACACCUCCCUACCAAGGCCAUCUUCAAUCUCUACAGAAGUCCCCAACUCCACCACCUCUUCAUGCGGUCACUGCAUGGGGACCUUCCUUGCCUGCUCUUUAGGACAAAGGUCUACACACAGCUGAUCCCCUCCCCACAGAGGCCAACACUUUUGAUUUCAUCAAUAAAUCAUUUGUAAUCAAGACAUUAAAGCUCAGGCUCAAACAGACCAGAAGUGCAGCUUCUGGAAUUGACAGGAAUAAAUUUGUCAGAUGUAGAUUCA
ensembl:lncRNA